CCCACUGAAUUUAUUUUGAAGGGCCGCAGUAUUUUGACUGUGCAAAGGUAGCAUAAUCAUUAGUCUUUUAAUUGAAGGCUUGUAUGAAUGGUUGGACGAGGUAAACACUAUUUUACAUUAAUUUACUGAAUUUAGAUUUUAAGUAAAAAUACUUAAAUUUUAUUAAGGGACGAGAAGACCCUAUAGAGUUUAAUAUAUUAAGUGUAUAAUUGAGUUAAUUUAUAAUUUUUGGUUAUUAUAAUAUAUAUUUAAUUGGGGUGAUGGGAAAAUAAAAGUAACUUUUCUUUAUGUUUAAUAAUAUUUGUAGUUAAAUGAUCCAUAAUUAAUGAUUAAAAGAUUAAAUUACCUUAGGGAUAACAGCAUAAUUCUUUUUAAGAGUUCAUAUCGAAAAAAGAGCUUGUGACCUCGAUGUUGGAUUAAGAUUAGUCUUGGGUGUAG
rnacentral:rRNA from 1 species